rnacentral:tRNA from 1 species
GGGUCGGUAUCCAAGUCUGGCUAAAGGGGGUAGACUGUAAAUCUACUGCGUUUUCACGCUUCGCUGGUUCAAAUCCAUCUCGGCCCACCA